rnacentral:rRNA from 1 species
UUGGGGGAUAACGUUCCGAAAGGAACGCUGAUACCGCAUACGUCCUACUGUAGAAAGCGGGGGACCUUCCGGCCUUGCGCUAUCAUAUGAACCUAGGUCGGAUUAGCUAGUUGGAGAGGUAAUGGCUCACCAAGGCGACGAUCCCUAACUGGUCUGAAAGGAUGAUCCGUCCCCCUGGAACUGAGACACGGGCCAGACUCCUACCGGAGGCAGCAAUGCGGAAUAUUGCACGAUGGGCGAAAGCCUGAUCCCUCCAUGCCGCGUGUGUGAAUAACGUCUUCCGAUUGUGAAGCUCUUUAGAUUGGAAGGAACGGCAUUAUCCUAGUACGUUACCGUUUUGACGUUACCAAC